UAGAGCAUGAUUAUCGCUGUCCUUAGCUAGGGUUCUUAAUGUAAUUAGGAUUAAAAAUAAAUCAAAAAUAGAUGUUAUUAGAAAAAACGUUUCUUAGUUAAGGACAAAAACAGACGUCUCCUAGAGACACAUGUCUCUCAUUGAAGGGAGUUUAGCUUUUUUCUCUUCACAUCUUUGAUCUUUCUCUCUCGACGGAAAACGAUCUGGAUUCACGGUGGGAAGAAGCGACCGGAGAAGCUGUUGACGAAGUCAUCUUCCUCAGCCGUCACACCACCAUCUUGAACCGUACUGCUCUGCCUGUUCACCCCAUCGGAGUGCUUCAUCUGAAAGAAGGAGAAUCGCCGCCGCAGGGAGGAAAGCCGGGAUGGGCGGCGUUGCUGUUGACCGUACUAUAGAUAACAUAGCUUUCAGAGGUUGGGUCGAGACUAAUAAUCAAAGUGAUCGGAAGUUUAUUCCUUUACGUAUGAUUCCACAGGAUUUACUCUUCAGUUGACUUGUGGUGUCGCAGGUGGGGUUUGUGACUUUUUUCCUCAGUUCGAUUCUAGACAACCUGAGCUCUACCAUUGUCAUGGUUUCUUUACUCAGGAAACUGGUUCCUCAAUCAGAGUACCGCAAACUUCUAGGAGCUGUUGUGGUGAUAGCAGCAAAUGCAGGAGGAGCAUGGACUCCAAUCGGUGAUGUUACGACAACUAUGCUAUGGAUUCAUGGUCUUGGAGUUCUCUGGGUCUUGUUAGACGCCAUCCACUACGGUGAAUCAGAAAGACAAAAGCUCAAAAUACCUCAAGCCUUAUCCUUCACUAGUAUAGAAUGAAUUAUCCAGUAAGAUUUAUGCAUUUCGAGUUUUUAUGUGUUGUCUGGAAAGUGUAAGACUAGUUUGAGGGAACCAAACUUCAAUUGCAGAAAUGUCUCUGAUCUUUUUCAAAGUUUCUUUACUAGGUUGUUUCAUGGCUUCCAUUGUC